UGUAUAAGAGUCAUUGUUAAUUGUUCAUUUUUUAAUAUGAGUUUAUAUUUACA
rnacentral:pre_miRNA from 1 species